UGGGGAAUUUUGGACAAUGGGGGCAACCCUGAUCCAGCCAUGCCGCGUGCAGGAUGAAGGUCUUCGGAUUGUAAACUGCUUUUGUCAGGGACGAAAAGGACUGUGCUAAUACCACAGUCUGCUGACGGUACCUGAAGAAUAAGCACCGGCUAACUACGUGCCAGCAGCCGCGGUAAUACGUAGGGUGCAAGCGUUAAUCGGAAUUACUGGGCGUAAAGCGUGCGCAGGCGGUUCUGUAAGACAGAUGUGAAAUCCCCGGGCUUAACCUGGGAAUUGCAUUUGUGACUGCAGGACUAGAGUUCAUCAGAGGGGGGUGGAAUUCCAAGUGUAGCAGUGAAAUGCGUAGAUAUUUGGAAGAACACCAAUGGCGAAGGCAGCCCCCUGGGAUGCGACUGACGCUCAUGCACGAAAGCGUGGGGAGCAAACAGG
rnacentral:rRNA from 1 species